rnacentral:rRNA from 1 species
GACGAACGCUGGCGGCGUGCCUAAUACAUGCAAGUUGAGCGCUGAAGGUUGGUACUUGUACCAACUGGAUGAGCAGCGAACGGGUGAGUAACGCGUGGUGAAUCUGCCUUUGAGCGGGGGACAACAUUUGGAAACGAAUGCUAAUACCGCAUAAAAACUUUAAACACAAGUUUUAAGUUUGAAAGAUGCAAUUGCAUCACUCAAAGAUGAUCCCGCGUUGUAUUAGCUAGUUGGUGAGGUAAAGGCUCACCAAGGCGAUGAUACAUAGCCGACCUGAGAGGGUGAUCGGCCACAUUGGGACUGAGACACGGCCCAAACUCCUACGGGAGGCAGCAGUAGGGAAUCUUCGGCAAUGGACGAAAGUCUGACCGAGCAACGCCGCGUGAGUGUAGAAGGUUUUCGGAUCGUAAAACUCUGUUGGUAGAGAAGAACGUUGGUGAGAGUGGAAAGCUCAUCAAGUGACGGUAACUACCCAGAAAGGGACGGCUAACUACGUG